UACGUAGGGUGCGAGCGUUGUCCGGAAUUAUUGGGCGUAAAGAGCUCGUAGGCGGUGUGUCACGUCGGCCGUGAAAACCUGCAGCUUAACUGUGGGCGUGCGGUCGAUACGGGCAUCACUGGAGUUCGGCAGGGGAGACUGGAAUUCCUGGUGUAGCAGUGAAAUGCGUAGAUAUCAGGAGGAACACCGAUGGCGAAGGCAGGUCUCUGGGCUGACACUGACGCUCAUGCACGAAAGCGUGGGGAGCAAACAGG
rnacentral:rRNA from 1 species